AGUGAACGCUGGCGGUAGGCCUAACACAUGCAAGUCGAACGGCAGCACAGUAAGAGCUUGCUCUUACGGGUGGCGAGUGGCGGACGGGUGAGGAAUACAUCGGAAUCUACUUUUUCGUGGGGGAUAACGUAGGGAAACUUACGCUAAUACCGCAUACGACCUACGGGUGAAAGCAGGGGAUCUUCGGACCUUGCGCGAUUGAAUGAGCCGAUGUCGGAUUAGCUAGUUGGCGGGGUAAAGGCCCACCAAGGCGACGAUCCGUAGCUGGUCUGAGAGGAUGAUCAGCCACACUGGAACUGAGACACGGUCCAGACUCCUACGGGAGGCAGCAGUGGGGAAUAUUGGACAAUGGGCGCAAGCCUGAUCCAGCCAUACCGCGUGGGUGAAGAAGGCCUUCGGGUUGCAAAGCCCUUUUGUUGGGAAAGAAACGCAGCAGGUUAAUACCCCGCUGUUCUGACGGUACCCAAAGAAUAAGCACCGGCUAACUUCGUG
rnacentral:rRNA from 1 species